UACGUAGGGUGCAAGCGUUGUCCGGAAUUAUUGGGCGUAAAGAGCUCGUAGGCGGUUCAGUAAGUCGGGUGUGAAAACUCUGGGCUCAACCCAGAGACGCCACCCGAUACUGCUGUGACUUGAGUACGGUAGGGGAGUGGGGAAUUCCUGGUGUAGCGGUGAAAUGCGCAGAUAUCAGGAGGAACACCAGUGGCGAAGGCGCCACUCUGGGCCGUAACUGACGCUGAGGAGCGAAAGCGUGGGUAGCAAACAGG
rnacentral:rRNA from 1 species